UACGUAGGUCCCGAGCGUUGUCCGGAUUUAUUGGGCGUAAAGCGAGCGCAGGUGGUUUAUUAAGUCUGGUGUAAAAGGCAGUGGCUCAACCAUUGUAUGCAUUGGAAACUGGUAGACUUGAGUGCAGGAGAGGAGAGUGGAAUUCCAUGUGUAGCGGUGAGAUGCGUAGAUAUAUGGAGGAACACCGGUGGCGAAAGCGGCUCUCUGGCCUGUAACUGACACUGAGGCUCGAAAGCGUAGGGAGCAAACAGG
rnacentral:rRNA from 1 species